rnacentral:rRNA from 1 species
GCGGCGGACGGGUGAGUAAUGCUUAGGAAUCUGCCUAUUAGUGGGGGACAACGUUUCGAAAGGAACGCUAAUACCGCAUACGCCCUACGGGGGAAAGCAGGGGAUCUUCGGACCUUGCGCUAAUAGAUGAGCCUAAGUCAGAUUAGCUAGUUGGUGGGGUAAAGGCCUACCAAGGCGACGAUCUGUAGCGGGUCUGAGAGGAUGAUCCGCCACACUGGGACUGAGACACGGCCCAGACUCCUACGGGAGGCAGCAGUGGGGAAUAUUGGACAAUGGGGGGAACCCUGAUCCAGCCAUGCCGCGUGUGUGAAGAAGGCCUUUUGGUUGUAAAGCACUUUAAGCGAGGAGGAGGCUCCUCUAGAUAAUACCUAGGAUGAGUGGACGUUACUCGCAGAAUAAGCACCGGCUAACUCUGUGCCAGCAGCCGCGGUAAUACAGAGGGUGCGAGCGUUAAUCGGAUUUACUGGGCGUAAAGCGUACGUAGGCGGCUUUUUAAGUCGGAUGUGAAAUCCCUGAGCUUAACUUAGGAAUUGCAUUCGAUACUGGGAAGCUAGAGUAUGGGAGAGGAUGGUAGAAUUCCAGUGUAGCGGUGAAAUGCGUAGAGAUCUGGAGGAAUACCGAUGGCGAAGGCAGCCAUCUGGCCUAAUACUGACGCUGA